rfam:Brevibacillus sp. CF112 PMI08_contig_108.108, whole genome shotgun sequence.
UUCAUCGUGAGGUGGAAUCUUAAGGAAGCUGGAGGCAAAAUCCCGGCCCGAGGACAAACGAACAUCAUCAGGUAGAGGGGAUGGGACGACCUUGCUGAACAAAGCAAAGCUACACGGACAUCCCAGUGUAAAUGAUGCGGGGAGAUGGGAGGAAAGGGAGUCGU